UACGAAGGGGGCUAGCGUUGCUCGGAAUCACUGGGCGUAAAGCGCACGUAGGCGGAUUGUUAAGUCAGGGGUGAAAUCCUGGAGCUCAACUCCAGAACUGCCUUUGAUACUGGCGAUCUCGAGUCCGGGAGAGGUGAGUGGAACUGCGAGUGUAGAGGUGAAAUUCGUAGAUAUUCGCAAGAACACCAGUGGCGAAGGCGGCUCUCUGGCCCGGUACUGACGCUGAGGUGCGAAAGCGUGGGGAGCAAACAGG
rnacentral:rRNA from 1 species